rnacentral:rRNA from 1 species
AUGGAGAAAUUCACUUGUGUUAGUCAACUAUGUGAGUGGUGGAAUUUAGUCGUGGCACCAAUUGCCCACACUUGUGUUACAACUGUAUCUGGGAUAUUUGUCAAGAAGAAAUCAUUAGCUCCACCGGUGGUUGCCUCUAACUCAGUUAAAGAGAGUAUCUCAGAGAAGAAUAAUGAAGAUGAGAUUCCAACUCCUGCACAUACAUCUAAGCAAGUCGGAGACAUUCCAAGGAGAGAGAUACAAGAGGUUGAGUCAAAUUUAGAAGAGUUGAUACUUCAAUAUCCUGAGAAGAUCCCACGUGUUGCUGAGCUGCAUGACUGGUGGAAGUCAUCAGUGUCAUUGUUGAAACUUAGCAGUGAUGGUGAUGAGGAGAAUAUUGCUCAGAAAGACAGCGAGUGCAGUUUAGAGAGUGUCGAGCGAGUGCUACUUCCUAUAAAAACCUGGUGA